AGAAUCAACGCUGGCGGCGUGCCUAACACAUGCAAGUCGAACGAGAAAGUGGAGCAAUCCACGAGUAAAGUGGCGCACGGGUGAGUAACACGUGACUAACCUACCCUUGAGUGGGGAAUAACCUCGGGAAACCGGGGCUAAUACCGCAUAACACCUACGGGUCAAAGGAGCAAUUCGCUUAAGGAGGGGGUCGCGGCAGAUUAGUUAGUUGGCGGGGUAAUGGCCCACCAAGACGGUGAUCUGUAUCCGGCCUGAGAGGGCGCACGGACACACUGGAACUGAAACACGGUCCAGACUCCUACGGGAGGCAGCAGUGGGGAAUUUUGCGCAAUGGGGGAAACCCUGACGCAGCAACGCCGCGUGGAGGAUGAAGUCCCUUGGGACGUAAACUCCUUUCGAUCGGGACGAUUAUGACGGUACCGGAAGAAGAAGCCCCGGCUAACUUCGCGCCAGCAGCCGC
rnacentral:rRNA from 1 species